UUGAAAGGGAAACGAUUGAAGUCGGCCGGGCCACGAGGAUCAACUUUUCGAGGGGGACUUCCCGGUCCGUGUGGGUGCAAAGGCCUCGGUGGUUGUGUUUUGGGUUUUGGGGGGACUUUUUCGGAUGGGAGGUACCUCAGUUCCAGGCCAUAAAAUGGUCGGAGGAGUCGUCGAUCUCGGAUUGAGUGGUAUGCCUUUGGAGAUGGGGGGGUAAACUGAGGAUGCAACGAAACCCUUUGGGCUAUCCGCUGGGCUCUGAAGGGGUGGGGUGCCGAAAGCUUGUUAUGGUAUUAAGACGAUGGAAAAGGUUGGAACGUGUAUCUUCGUUAAGGAUGUUGACGUA
rnacentral:rRNA from 1 species